UACGUAGGGGGCAAGCGUUGUCCGGAUUUAUUGGGCGUAAAGAGCGUGUAGGCGGCCAGGCAGGUCCGUUGUGAAAACUCGAGGCUCAACCUCGAGACGCCGAUGGAAACCGUUUGGCUAGAGUCCGGAAGAGGAGAGUGGAAUUCCUGGUGUAGCGGUGAAAUGCGCAGAUAUCAGGAAGAACACCCGUGGCUAAGGCGGCUCUCUAGUACGGUACUGACGCUGAUACGCGAAAGCGUGGGGAGCGAACAGG
rnacentral:rRNA from 1 species